UGUAGUCAUAUGCUUGUCUCAAAGAUUAAGCCAUGCAUGUCUAAGUAUAAGCAAUUAUACGGCGAAACUGCGAAUGGCUCAUUAAAUCAGUUAUCGGUUAUUUGAUAGUACCUUGCUACAUGGAUAACCGUGGUAAUUCUAGAGCUAAUACAUGCUAAAAAUCCCGACUUCGGAAGGGAUGUAUUUAUUAGAUUAAAAACCAAUGCCCUUCGGGGCUCUCUGGUGAUUCAUAAUAACUUCUCGAAUCGCACGGCCUUGCGCCGGCGAUGGUUCAUUCAAAUUUCUGCCCUAUCAACUUUCGACGGCUGGGUCUUGGCCAGCCAUGGUGACAACGGGUAACGGAGGGUUAGGGCUCGACCCCGGAGAAGGAGCCUGAGAAACGGCUACUACAUCCAAGGAAGGCAGCAGGCGCGCAAAUUACCCAAUCCCGACUCGGGGAGGUAGUGACAAUAAAUACUGAUACAGGGCUCUUUUGGGUCUUGUAAUUGGAAUGAGUACAAUUUAAAUCCCUUAACGAGGAACAAUUGGAGGGCAAGUCUGGUAAUCG
rnacentral:rRNA from 1 species